rnacentral:lncRNA from 1 species
GUCAGGAACUUCUGGUUUCUCAACACCAUAAAAGAAGAUCUAGAGUGUCUUCCUUUACCCGGAUGUGGAAUAGUACUAAAAAUAAGAAUGCUGCAAUUGCUGGGAGGUUGCAGCAUGGGCUCUGGUGAGAAUAGAAAGACAGGAGGAUGCUGGCUGCAGCCUGCAAAUUGUCAGCCAGUUGUGCCAGAUGUUGUCAUCCGCGGAGAGUGGGGAAGAAGGACCAGGGUGGCUUCUGAGCUUUUCAGGUUAAGCCUGAGUUUGGUCUUCUGUUACUUGGAACUGAAAUAAUGUGCAUUGACACACCUAACAAGUCAAAGUAUUGUCUUUUGCUGGUCUGCUCUGGUCCUGGAAACAUCCACUGAUAGAAUCACUGGUCUGGGACAAAUUGUGGUACCCAAAGACCUCAGGAAGCACUUAGAAGCAUUACUCCUGAAGUCCCAUUCGUCCCAAGAAGAGUUGCUGGCUGGAGGAGACAAUAUGUAAACAUGUCAUGACAAGAUGGUGUGGUGAGUGCUAUGUUGGCAUGUUGGAGGCAAGCAUAGCCAUGCUCACAGUGAGGAAUGACUUAGGAGCGCAACCACAGCCCCAUGCUACCUUCCACCAUUUGGAUAAAAGAAGGAAAAUGCCUUCAAAUUGCGAUCCAUCAAGUCUGAGAUAAUCUGUUAUGGCAACGUAAGAAGCUAAUACAAGAUGCAGGAGUGAAGCAGCGAGGUCUGGAAAAAAGCUAUUGCAAAAAUACAGGUAAGAAAUGAAGCUACCUUGGCCUAGAGUGGGAGCAGUGAUGGGGCAAGAGGCUGUCCCACUGUGAAGGUAGGCUUUGCUGAGGUAUUAGAUGUGGGGUAUGAAGGAAAGGAGUCAAGGAGGACUGUGACAUUAAUAGUGUCAGACUGAGUAACUGAAGGGUGGAAUUGACAUCUGAAAGGGGGAGACAGGGAGAAUCAGGUUUGUGUCGGGGAAGGACAGGUGUUUGAGUUGCUUAUUAGACACCAAGUGGCUAUGUCGAGUAGGUAGGUGGAUAUGAGAGCCUGUUACCUGGAUCAGAUAUAUACACCUGGGUAACACAGGCAUAGUGAUGGCACGAAAAGCCAAGAGCCUGGAUGAGCAAGCCAGGGAGUGAGAGUAGACACAGAGGAGGCAUAACAGGGAAGGAACACUUGGAUACACCCAUGUUACAAGGUCAGGGAGGUUAGAAAGACCUGAUGAAGGAGACUGAGAAGGAGCAACAGGAGAGAUAGGAAGAAAACCUGGUGAGCAUGGUGUCCCAGGAGGCACAUGAAGAAAGUACAGGGUCAGUCA